rnacentral:rRNA from 1 species
AGCAGCCGCGGUAAUUCCAGCUCCAAUAGCGUAUAUUAAAGUUGUUGCAGUUAAAAAGCUCGUAGUUGAAUUUCGGGAUCAAUAUAUCGGUCGUGCCUUCGGUACGACUGGUAUCAUUGGUUUCUCCUUUCUGACGAACCAUGAUGUCAUUAAUUUGGUGUUAUGGGGAGUUAGGACGGUUACUUUGAAAAAUUAGAGUGUUUAAAGCAAGCUAACGCUUGAAUACAUUAGCAUGGAAUAAUGAAAUAGGACGUUCGAUCCUAUUUUGUUGGUUUCUAGGAUUGACGUAAUGAUUAAUAGGGAUAGUUGGGGGCAUUAGUAUUCAAUUGUCAGAGGUGAAAUUCUUGGAUUUAUUGAAGACUAACUACUGCGAAAGCAUUUGCCAAGGAUGUUUUCAUUAAUCAAGAACGAAAGUUAGGGGAUCGAAGACGAUCAGAUACCGUCGUAGUCUUAACCAUAAACUAUGCCGACUAGGGAUCGGAUGAUGUUAAUUUUUAAUGUACUCAUUCGGCGCCUUACG